rnacentral:rRNA from 1 species
GCCCGACGUGCAGUUGUCCUGUGUGGUAGAGCGAAUGAUUAGCGUUUUCGGGGGAAUUUAUUCCUUCGGGCGAUUCUCAAACUUCUAAUGCGCAGGAUGAUGUUGCUGUUUUGUUUUAAGCAGUUUCGUUAGAAACGUCGGGUUUGUGGGCCACUUUUGGUAAGCAGAACUGGCGAUACGGGAUGAACCGUAAGUAUGGUUAAGGCGCCAAAUUGACCGCUCAUAGGUCCCACAAAAGGUGUUGAUUCAUCGAGACAGCAGGACGGUGGCCAUGGAAGUCGGAAUCCGCUAAGGAGUGUGUAACAACUCACCUGCCGAAUGAAUUAGCCCUGAAAAUGGAUGGCACUAAAGCGGUCAGCCGACACCAUACCAUCCAGCCAAGAGUGGUGCUGAGAUGAGUAGGAGGGCAUCCCGGUUGUAUCGAAGCGUAGGGGCAACUUUGCGUGGAACGGCCGGAAGUGCAGAUCUUGGUGGUAGUAGCAAAUAUUCAUGUGUGAUCCUUGAAGGGCGAAGCGGGGAAGGGUUCCACGCGAACAUUGGUUGAGCGUGGGUGAGUCGUUCCUAAGCCGGGCGUUUAUUGUGCAAAAACCGGCGAAAGGGAAGCAGGUUGACAUUCCUGCACACGGAUGUGGAGGCGGUGACGCUCCAACUGGCAAGGUGACGUUGGCGAUGGCCCUGGGCAGAGUUGUCUUUUCUGUUUAACCGUCCCGUAUGCUCUGUGGAAUCCGCUUGUCGGGAGAAACAGGCAUACUCGGGCAAAGCGCCGGUGUAUUACCGGCGUCCAGAUCGCCACCGACAGCCCCUGAAAAACCUUGUGCUGGGCAAAGUUUACUUUUGCGACUNUGUUUGGGUUCCACGCCGUAACGUACCUAUAACCGCAUCAGGUC